CAUCAUAAAGUAUAUAAAAUGUACGAAAGACUGUAAAUCUUUAGGAGCCUUAAAAGCUGUGAUGU
rnacentral:tRNA from 1 species